AAGACUAUACUUUCAGGGAUCAUUUCUAUAGUUUUUGACUUAAGAAGUGUGUUUCUAAACUGUUAGUCUCGCUAAUCACGAUGACGAGGCUUUGAUACUUCUUCUUGAGCGCGAAGCGAAUGCAGAGACUUGAGUCAAUCAUAGGCUCUGCAUUAUUGAUGACCGUUCACUGUCUCUUUCAGGGGCAAUGAGGGAAGGAGUAUGAUCAGAGUGAU